AACCCAUGGUGUGUACAUUUCCUCAUCAAUUCCUUGUACCUCUCCCAAGCCUAUACAAUGACUCGGUCCUCUUGUAGAAAUGAUUUGAUAUCAUUUCUCAGGUU